GCCACGGUGGUCUAGUGGUUAGAACGCUGGCCUUGUAAUCCUGGGGUCUCGGGUUCGAUUCCCGGCGGUCCCC
rnacentral:tRNA from 1 species